CUCACUUACAGGUUCAGAGGGUCAGUCCAUGAAGGCAGGAAGCAUGGCAGUGUCCAGGCAGGCAUGAGAAGGAGCUGGGUGUUGUACAUCUUGUUCUGAGGACAAACAAGAGAAGACAGACUUUCAGGCAGCUAGGAGGAGGGUCUCAAAGCCCACCCCCACAGUGACACACUUCCUCCAACAAGGCCACAUCUACUCCAACAAGGACAUACCUCCCAAUAGUGCCACUCUCUGGGCCAUGCAUAUUCAAAUCACUUCAGUGGUACAGGCCUACCCUCUCAGCACUGAGGAGGCUGAGACAGAGGGCUUCCAUGAGUUCAAAACCAGCCUGGAUUUCGGAGUGAAGUGGAGAAUUGAAGCCUAGUAAGUUAACUGCGCAAAAAUAAAAGUAGUUCCGGUUGGGGAUGAGCCACGGUGUGGUGUCCUUAAACCUACUCACUAAGCCCCCCCAGCAGGGUUCCAGGUCUUCAGACAUGGUCCAACCAAGGGAAGCAGUACAUUUUCCUCCCCACACCUCCUCCUAAGUCUUCAGGGACCCAGUGUUUUAUUCUUUAUUUCCAUCUUUCCAGGUCUUGCUUGGAAUGGGGAACGUGAUCAGAGUUAACACCAAACAUGUCUUACAAGCCACCUGCAGAUGAAUGCUGGAGCAUCCCGAUGGAGCAUCCUGAUGGAGCAUUUUGGAGGAGGCCUGAAAGAUGAAGAGAUGUGCCACAAAUAUUGCAUCGCGUGGCUCAGCACUGUUCAGCCUGGCAGCCAUUAACCACAUAAGGCCAUUCAGAUUAAACUACCCCAGACAAGGCAGUGCCCACCUGGGGACACAGGAAGAUCGUGGGUUCGAGGCCACCGUGGACUGUCCAGCAAGACCCCCUGCUCAAGAAGCAAAUGUACCAAAUAGCAAAUCAGAGAGAUGACAGCCUGGCAUGAUGGUGGUGCGCUUCUCUAAUCUAAGCACUGGAAGCACAGGUGGACCUCCGUGAGUUCAAGGCCUGCUUGGUUGACAGGGUGAGUUCCAUGUCACCUGUGGCUACAUAGUGAGACCCUGUCUCAACAAAUAAAUGCAAUCAAAGCAAAACA
rnacentral:lncRNA from 1 species